AGAGUUUGAUCAUGGCUCAGGAUGAACGCUGGCGGCGUGCCUAAUACAUGCAAGUCGAGCGAACAGAUAAGGAGCUUGCUCCUUUGACGUUAGCGGCGGACGGGUGAGUAACACGUGGGUAACCUACCUAUAAGACUGGAAUAACUUCGGGAAACCGAAGCUAAUGCCGGAUAACAUGUAGAACCGCAUGGUUCUACAGUGAAAGAUGGCCUUGCUAUCACUUAUAGAUGGACCCGCGCCGUAUUAGCUAGUUGGUAAGGUAACGGCUUACCAAGGCAACGAUACGUAGCCGACCUGAGAGGGUGAUCGGCCACACUGGAACUGAGACACGGUCCAGACUCCUACGGGAGGCAGC
rnacentral:rRNA from 1 species